GCUCGAGGUCCUCUACUGUACUCGGGAUGUGCUGGUCGCUGCAUCAGCAGCGGCGCUUCCCUGGGCGGUGGUCGGUGCAGCUUUCGCCGCCGCGCUGCCACUGGCGGACGACCCGUCCCCGGCGCUCCCGGCGGCCACCCGUGCUGCCGCGGCCGAAGACGACGACGCCGCCGCCGCCUCCCCCGCAGCGGCGGCCGGCGGCGGCUGCUUGCGCUUGCGGCUCUUCUUCUCGUAGGGUAUGCCCCGCGCCUUGGCCUGCGCGUCGCGGACGUCGCGGAGGUAGAUCCGCACGGCGCGGGCGGCGAAGGGGUUGGACUCGGGCGCGUGGCCGCUCUCCUCGUACGCGGCGCGCAGGCGGCCGAUGAGCGCGUCGAGGGAGCCCCAGGCCUGGUGCAGCGGGCACGGGCACGGCGCCGGCGGGCUGGGCUGGCCGAAGUGGGCGCACCCGGCGGCGUGCACCUUGGUCUUGCCGAACUGGUCCAGGUACUUGAGGAACUCGAUGACGUGCGCGCCGCUGCACCGCGCCAGCGUCAGCGGCGGCCGGUGGUUCUGCAGGUACUGCAGGAACGUGUUCCAGUCCCGCCGCUUCUGCGACUCGUACCUGCUCAGCUGAUGCGGCUGCGGCUGCGCCUGCGCCUGAGCAAGCGGCUGGAUCUGGUGCUGCUGCGGCGGCGCGUGCGCGUGCGCGUCGUCGCCGCCCGCCCCCGCCGCCGAGGACGGCCCGGCCCCGGCGCCGGCUGGCCCCGAGGGAUCCAUGCACGCAGCUGCUGCUCACCCGGCCGGCCGGGGCCGGGGCGCGGGCGAGAGCGCGAUCGUGCGGGUCAGUGGAGACGCGCACCGUCCGGGGCGGGCGCGGGGUUGGUUCGCGAUGGGAUGCGGGGGAGAGCGACGGGCCGGGGGGAGUGGAGAAAGGGAGGUGAACUGAAGGACGCUGCUGCUGCUAGCCUGCUAUAC
rnacentral:misc_RNA from 1 species